GGAGAAUACUGAGGCAAGGUACCGGAGGAUUCUUGAGAGAAACCCUGAUGCUCCCGAGAAAUUGAAACUGACUCUUAAAGCGGCACUUAAAGAAAAAGAUUAGACCAAUCUGGAAGUACACAACUCUAAAGACUAGAAGAUAAUUAUUAGACAUAAAAUAAUCAAUGUAGAUAUUAAUUAUAGUGAACUACACUGCACAAGUACUUACAUAUCUAUUUACUAUUUUGGUGAGGGCUCUUGGCCCAUUAUUGUUCAUUCAUUCAUAGGCGUAG